AUUGAACGCUGGCGGCAGGCUUAACACAUGCAAGUCGAGCGAGCGGCGGACGGGUGAGUAAUGUCUGGGAAACUGCCUGAUGGAGGGGGAUAACUACUGGAAACGGUAGCUAAUACCGCAUACCAUCAGAUGUGCCCAGAUGGGAUUAGCUGGUAGGUGGGGUAAUGGCUCACCAAGGCGACGAUCCCUAGCUGGUCUGAGAGGAUGACCAGACCAACUGGAACGGAGACACGGUCCAGACUCCUACGGGAGGAAGAAGUGGGGAAUAUUGCACAAUGGGCGCAAGCCUGAUGCAGCCAUGCCGCGUGUAUGAAGAAGGCCUUCGGGUUGUAAAGUACUUUCAGCGGGGAGGCGUUACACGCAGAAGAAGCACCGGCUAACUCCGUGCCAGCAGCCGCGGUAAUAC
rnacentral:rRNA from 1 species